rnacentral:piRNA from 1 species
UAAGACUGACUUAUUGUUUUGGAAUGCCUC